GGGGAUGUAGCUCAGUGGUAGAGCGCUUGCCUAGCAAACGCAAGGCCCUGGGUUCGGUCCCCAGCUCCG
rfam:Rattus norvegicus chromosome 15, whole genome shotgun sequence.